GGAUCACCUAGACCAACCCAACCCAGUUCCUUUUGACUUCUUUGGCAGUUUUCGUCGGUUUUCCAAUGAACCACGUCAAACAACCCUUGGGAAAACACUCAAUGGCUUUCUCUCUACCCACUCCACCCCAAACUUUAAUGGCAUUUGGCCUUAGAAAUUGUGAAACCACACCGGGGGAGGGGGUGCAACAGAGUUCGUGGUGGUGAUCCACCAAACCUGAAUAAAACUUCCACCACCACCAUCAACAAUGGACUCCCCUCAACCUCAAGAACAAACCCUAGGCAUUGGUUGGGGCGGCGAAGCACUAGAGGUGACGGAUCGAAGCCACCCAUUUCUAGGGUUUCCGGGGGGUUCGAGUAAAAUUGGGGAUUUUCCCGGUCAAAUUGGACCUCGGCCCAGGUAUGAAAAUUUUUCCUCUCCUUGAUUUGUACACUCCUGCAGAAUUUCGUAAUUUUUUGAAAUAGUUAAGUUUCCGGCGAGUCGGGGCGGCCACCACCCGCGGCAGCCCGUGGCCAGUGAGCCGAUGCUAUUUUUUCAUGUAGAUUUUGAUAUUUUAAAUCCAUAAUUGGUACCCAUUUGGUGUGAUUUGAUUGUGAAAACUAAUGUUUAAUAUUUCUGUUAUUAGAGUAUUUUCGGAAAUGGAUAAAAAGAUGAAUGGUGAACUACGAAAGGCUUGAUCCCGCUCAAGGGUACGUAGGCAGUCUAACAGGGUUAGAUGUAGCCUUAAAUAAUUGAGAUUAAUCUUUUGUUUGGAAUUUGAAUUAAGAAAAGAAAUUUGGUGAUUAAUUGUAAAAUUAAAUCUUAUGUUUUGGUAAUUAAAUUUUGG
rnacentral:lncRNA from 1 species